ACGCUCGACACCUACGGGAGGCAGCAGUGGGGAAUAUUGCACAAUGGGGGAAACCCUGAUGCAGCGACGCCGCGUGGAGGAAGAAGGUCUUCGGAUUGUAAACUCCUGUUGUUAGGGGAAAAAGNGGAUGGUACCCAACAAGGAAGUGACGGCUAACUACGUGUCAGCAGCCGCGGUAAUCUGAGCGGGCUGGCAAGGC
rnacentral:rRNA from 1 species